rnacentral:rRNA from 1 species
UAAUCUGCCCACUGAUUUAAUAAUUAAAGGGCUGCAGUAUAUUGACUGUACAAAGGUAGCAUAAUCAUUAGUCAUUUAAUUGAUGACUUGUAUGAAAGAUUGGAUGAAAUAUAAACUGUCUCUUAAUUAAAUAUAGAAUUUAAUUUUUUAAUUAAAAAGUUAAAAUAAAUUAAAAAGACGAGAAGACCCUAUAGAGUUUUAUAAUUAAUUUAAUUAAGAUUAUUUAAUAAUAUAAAAUUAAAAUUAAGUUAUUUAUUUUGUUGGGGUGAUAGAAAAAUAUAUUAAACUUUUUUUAAUUAAAAACAUCUAUAAGUGAUUAAAUGAUCCAAUAUUAUUGAUUAUAAGAAAAAAUUACCUUAGGGAUAACAGCGUAAUUUUUUUUUUUAGUUCAAAUAAGAAAAAGAGUUUGCGACCUCGAUGUUGGAUUAAGAUAAAAUUUAAAUGCAGAAG